rnacentral:rRNA from 1 species
CAAUAGCGUAUAUUAAAGUUGUUGCAGUUAAAAAGCUCGUAGUUGGAUUUCUGUUUGCGACUUGUUGCGGUUUGCUUUUCUGUGAACUGCCUUUCGCUUACAUUUUCUCGAGGAUCCCAUGUGCCCUUCACUGGGUGUGUGGUGAGACUCGGGACCUUUACUUUGAAAAAAUUAGAGUGUUCAAAGCAGGCCUUCGCUUGAAUACAUUAGCAUGGAAUAAUAGAAUAGGACUUUGGUUCUGUUUUGUUGGUUUAUAGGACCGGGGUAAUGAUUAAUAGGGAUAGUUGGGGGCAUUAGUAUUUAAUUGUCAGAGGUGAAAUUCUUGGAUUUAUGAAAGACUAACAUCUGCGAAAGCAUUUGCCAAGGAUGUUUNCAUUAA